rnacentral:lncRNA from 1 species
AUAUUUUAACAGUUUUCAGAGACCCAUCGAUUUCUGCAUUUUGACUUUCAUUUUCAAAGAUUAUCACGUGACCACGAGAAAACAUUGUGAGUGAUGAUUUAUGCAAAUGACCAUAUUUUAACACCUCGUUCAAUUAAGAUGCAUGUAAGGCCAAAUAAAAAUAUAUGUGUGGUUCCAGUAACCCGACCGACCCUGGUUAAAACCCCCAACCCUAGAACUUUUUUUUCAUUUCUUAAAAAUAAAUUUUCAAACGAUCAAAUUUUGAGGAUUGUGAAUUAAAAUAAUUAAAUUCAUAGAUUUCUGUAAUCUGAAUUUCCAUCCCAAGUAUCUGUUAUGGCUAAAAUGCAAAAAUUCAUAACAGAAUGCCACAAAAUUAACUAAAAACGUAUCAUGGCUGUUUAUUUUACAACCACACACAUGUAAAAAUGUCAGACUUCCGGUUGGGGCGUGUAUAAUAAGGGAAACAAUUUCGGUAAACACACUAUUCUUUUCCGGAUUUUGACAUUAAAAAAAAAAAUUAAAAAAAAAAAAAAAAAAAAAUUCCGACCUACCGACCCUAUUUUUUAAAAGUAUGUAACUGGAACCACACAUAUAUUUUUAUUUGGCCUAAUC